CAAAUUACCGCUGGCGACGUGGCGUCGCUCGUCUCCACCCACGUAAAAUAAUGUGAGACGGUGUUUCGGUUUUUAGACUCGGGCGUCGGCGGCGCUCGUGGUCCCGCUCGGAAAUGGCGGGUCGACUCGCGAGAAGGCUCUCGUCCUCGUCGGAAUCCUUCCUCGCCGACGGAUGCCCGAUCUUCGCUUGGUCGGGUCGCGACCUGUGUGGGCCCGGGCGGGCUUCUUCCUCCUCGUCAUCAUCGUCUUCGCCUUCGCCGUCGUCGCCGGAUGGAACGGCCUCGAAGCCCCGUAAGAAGAUUACGGACCGUCUAUCGGGCGUAAUCGACGCCGUCAACGACCGCAAGCUUCCUCCCGAGCUCCGUGGCCAUCGCAACUCCGUCAGAUCCGAGACUGAUAUUGUGAACAUAGUGGAGCAGAGAAUAUGGCAUUCAAUGGAGGAAGGACAUUUUGAGAACCUACCCGGGAAAGGGAAACCCCUUGACCUCGGCGUAAAUCCACACGCAGAUCCGGCAGAAGACACCUUGUAUCGGAUUCUGAAUAAGAAUGGUUGUGCUCCAGAGUGGGUAGAACUUAACAAGGAAAUAAGGAAUGCGAUGUCCGAGUGGCGGAGAGCGCUAAAGAAAGCAUGGAUGAGCAGAAGCAAUGGGAGUCGAUCCGAGUGGGACGAGCGUUCGGAGGCUUUGAAAGUGCAAAUGCGAGGAAUCAAUGACAAGCUAAGAUUUGCUUGGCGACUGAGUGAUGCUGCCCGUCAUCCGUAAGGAAAUGCAUGGCUGGUCAUUGGGUACCUGCAGAAGAACGAGCCAAACCAAGCUGAAAGACUACAGAUAUCUUCUUGCGGCACCCUGAAUCCAGUAAAAGAAGAGGUUCCUGUAGGUUCUCAUGAACCCUUUCGUCCCCAUAAAACCUUGUCCACAGUAUAGAGGAACCCGGUCCUCGCUCAGGAAAUUGCUCAGACCGUCCC